rnacentral:lncRNA from 1 species
CUGAAGAGGUUAAGAUUGUAGGAGGAUUUUAAACCAGGAAUUGGGAUUUUAAUUUCUUUGGUGAUGAAGUCACUAUCUGGGUAUCUUUGAGCUGCUGUUUUUUCAAUGAAGGCAAAAAGGGGUUGGCAGUAGACUUGGUAUGCACCAACAAGGUGGACAACUAUAGCAACAUUAGCAAUAUCAGGUAGCCAAUAUGGGUUAUAAAAACCAAAACCAGUUAGGAGAUUUCCAGGGGACAUGUCUCCAAAUGCUGCAUACCCAAAGCACCCACAUAGCAUAUAGAAAAACGUUGUCACUGCUACACUUAUUAGUGUUGCUUUCUUCAUUGUCUUGGCCUCUGAUGGUGGUGAUUUGAUCGUGUCCUGUUGAAGCCACAUAAUUCAUAAAGUCAGAUUUGUACUUUCAGUCUCAUUAUCAUCAAGUUAAAGUUUUUGGUUAAGCUCUAUAAUACCUGAAUUUCAAUGAGGAUGAUGGAGUAAGAAUAGGCGAAAGCGAUGUCUCCAAGAGCUUGGAAGCUUCUCCAUAUUUUCUGAGUUUCAGUUACAGUGCCAAUGGUUAUUCCAGUAAAACUUCCCCUGAUUUUUCCACUUUCUGCAACUUUAGCAAUUCCAAGUCCAAGGCCAAUGGUAGAGUAAGUGAAGGACAUUACAGCAGCAAGAAUAGAAAGCCACCAUAGCUUUUCAAAAUCUUGAAUUUGUGAGAAAAUUAUUUCUGCUAUUCCAAAUGCAAUCAUGUAAGGAUUUGCAUUCAUAUGGCAUGGAUCUUUGCCUCCUGUCUUGUGGAAACAAUUUGACCUCUUGACUGCCCUGUUUCAUAGUAAUAAAUAAAAAAAAAAAAAUUAUUAACCAGACAAUUUUAAAAAAUGUAACCAAAAAAAAAAAAAAAAAUGAUCUAGUACUUACAUCAUGCUUAUAGAUGAUGCAAUUGUGUAACCAAUGGCAACCCCCAAAAGAUUUAAGUACUGGACAUAUCCACAUAUCUUAACCUUAGCACCUCCUGAAAAUUAAUUGAAAUUCAAAAUUUAGUGUAACAAAUUAAAAAAUCCUAAAAAAAAAACCAAAUUUAAAAUGAAAUGAAAUGUUUUUUGUAAUAAUAAUAAUAAAAAAAACAUACCAAGAUUUGAUCUAACAGCAUCCAUGUAAGUGUAGUUUCUCUUGCCAUUAACAGAAUCCCCUGUUCUGUAGCAGGCAGAGAGCAGAGUAGAAGUAUAAUAAGUGACAAUAGAGAACAAGAACAUAACAGCAGGACCAGCAAUCCAUCCAAGCUGAGCUACAGCCCAAGCCAAAGACAAAACACCAGACCCAAUCACAGCAGUAAUUAUAUGAGCACUCGCUGUCCAAACACUUCCUGUCAAAAGAAAAUAGAGGAAGAAAAUAAGUAAAAUAACUUUUGUAUUUUUAUUUAAUUUUGCAAAACAAAAUAAUAAAAAAAUACAUUUAAAUGGAAGGUAUUUUUUAAAAAAAAAUUUAAGAUCAAAAACUAAGGUAAAAACAACAAGAUACCAAAUAGGCAGUAAAGAUUUAAUUACUUACCAGUUCUCUUGAGGCGGCCAUCAUCAUCAUACCAUUUAGAGCCAGCUUGAUUAGGCAUAUCAACAGAGACAUUGAAAGGUUGUGGUGGAGGAAAACUUUUAUCACCCAUCUUUGUUGAAGAAAAGAUUCCAACCAACCAAACAGAAAAGAACGUAAUUAAGUUUUCUUUUCUUUCUUGCAGGAAAUUAAUAAUGCUUCAACAAGAAAAAAAAAAAGAAAAGAAUUCCUGUAUCCGAUACAAAAAUAUAAAGAUUAUUUCGAAGAAAAUGAUGGGUCUUGUUGUUUAUUGGAUCAAAGUCUAGUUAAGGCUAUGGAGUUAAACUCUGAAACUAACAGUAUUAAUCUGACAGAAACACAGUUACACCUUCCCAGAAUCACAAAAUCCCAAAAGGAUUUUCUUUUUUCAAGAAGAGAGUUUGCUUAUAAUAGUAAUGAUGAUGAUAAUAAGAGGAAGAAAACACACUCUCUUUGGCUAGCUGUAGUGAGAAGAAGAAGAAAUGAUGGGAUGCAUAGGAGGUAUUAGAGCAAGGUAUAUAUAAACUAUAAAGAGGGUGAGGAGAGGCAAAUAAUAAUAAUAAUAAUAAUAAUAAUAAACCUGAAAGCCACGUGGUCGAAACGACAAUUUAAGGGGUAGGCGUAUUGUCAACGACCGACUGCAUAGUCAUCUGCCUUGACUGAAAUAAAAAUAAAAAAGCAACACCUCUCUCUCUCUCUCUCUCUCUAUUGAUCUCACGGUUUGCUACUGUUUAGUGCAAGAUUCUCAUACCCCACCAGAGAAGAAAUUGUCGUUGUCCUCUCUUUUUCAAAACCAGAUGCGUAAUUUGUUCUUUCUUUGUAACUGCCCAAAAAAUCUUUAGCUCAAAAGUAAUAAAAAUUUUGAAAAGCCACUGUUUUUCAUUACCUUGCUUUUUUUUCUUUUUUUCUUCACUAGACAGAAAGUAACAGUUUGUAAGAGCUUUUUCUUCUUUUGCUUUAUCAGAUUUUCCCAUGUUCAAUUUUGACUUGUUAAGUACUUUUAUAUAUAUAUAUACCUCCAAUUAUUACAACUAUGUAAGUUAACCAAACCGUCGGUUCAAUUCAAAAUUGAAAUGUUAGAACAACAAUUCAAAUUUUUAAAAUUAAGAUUGAAUUGAACCGAAAUUACUUUGAGAAUAGAUUGAACCGAACUAUAUCAAUUUCGUAUGUUUUUUCGGUUUUUAGUCAAAGGAGUGAAAGCUAGCGCCGGGAUUAAGAUCAAUUCUGUGAUUGUGAUAAAACCAAUUACUUUUUUUUUUUUGGAUUUAGUUCCCUUGGAUGUAUUUUCCUAAAUUUAACCUGUUGGAUUUUGUAAAACCAAGACGAAUCACCUUCAAACUUCGGUUUGAACCGAAAUAAAUCGAGAACCAAACUUGUUGUGAGCGAGCAAACAAGCGAACAGUGUCAGUUUCUGUUCGUCAUUUUGCUCGGCCCUAAUAUUCUCAUAUUUCUUUUGUAUAUUGGAGAGGGGACUCAGUAGGAUGGUUAGUUGACUAAAUUGAUGAUCUUGGGCGAUGAAAUGGUCGAACCAGAUUUAGAAAUGACUUUCUUGGUUUCGGUUCAACGCUUUUUCCUCUUUCUUUUCUUUUCUUUUUUCUUUUUACCCAAAAAACUCGGGAGAACCGCCACCGGAAUUAAUCAAUCCCGAUUAGUUCUUGAGCUUGAAUGCUUAGAAUUACAAGUAUUCUUAGGGUAUGUCAAGUCUAAAUCCUUUCUUGGUAAUUCUGAAAAUGCACUCUUUUAAUUAUUUAAGAUACUUUUUGAUAAGAAAGUAGAGCUUUAAUCUUUAUCAAUUAGACCGAUCUGGUCGGGUUAACAGUAUAAAAGAGAUUUACCUCUACAAUAUAAAAGUUAGUAGUUGAUGAACAAAAUUCUUAAACCUCUCGAGAAGCAAUGUUAGUCCUUAUAGCAAGGAGAUUGAUUGAGCUUGACUCUGUAAGACUUGGUUGCAUUACUUCAGUCUAGGCUACGCAUCGCUUGGAUAAUAUCCAAGAAUCUUGGGUUGCUUUUGUUAUUUACAAGAGUGCCUCAUCAUGUGCUCUCUUUUUUUUUUUUUUUUUUUUUUUUGGAAAAAAUAAAUAUUUUAGAGCAUUUCAAAAGUAAAAAAAAAAAAAAAAAAAAAAAGGGUAAAUUAGAGUAACUAGUACUUUUUUUAUAUAGUGUCUAAAAAGGGAUUCCCUAACAAUAUAUUCUUUAACUUUAAUUUUGGCGUGCAAUAAAAUCUGUAAAUCAAAUUUAUGUAUGAACACUAAACUACGCAAUAAUAUUAUGAAACUCAUAACCUAUAAUCUGAUAGACGAGUCAUACAUCAAAAGCUAUAAAUAUAUAUAUAUACACAAACGCUUUUCAAUGGGUAUAAAAUUUUCCUUCCUCAUAUGUUUAAUAGAAAGAAAAUAUUUAUAAUAGUUAUGUGAGGAAGUACUUUUCUUGCUUUUGAGAGGUGGGAAAAAAAAGGUUUCCAACAAAAUUGCAUGAAAAGUUAUAAAAAACAAAAUCUACCUUGUAUCAUAUUACACAUAUAAAGACAAGAUCUUACCUUCAUAUUGGAACUUUCUUUAAUUUCUUGCUUAUUACACUCCUCUAUCAAUGCAAGAAAUUGAUUAAAGCAAAGAAAAAGAAAUGUAUAAUGGAAGGGUUUUUGAUAAUUUGCUUGCGAUGGGUGUCUUGGGAUCAAAAUCUCUAGGCUUUAAAUAGAAGAAGGAAAAGGGACUGGACUUAAUAUUUUAAGGCCAUUUGUCUCUCUAAAAAGACCCUUUGAAUCAAAAUUCUCACCUGUAUAGCUCUCAUCCAUCGUUAUUGUUAGAGAAUAAGGUUCUUUCUCUAAUUUAUUAUUCAUUAUUCAUUCCAUUAACAAAAGAGUAUAAACAUAUGGAGUAAUGAGUGGAUAGAAUGCAUACAUAAAUCAGUCAAAUGUUUUCUUUCUUGGUCUGCACUCAAAACAAUAAAAACAUGAUGUUACCACUUGGGCUUUUAUUUAUUUAUUUUGAAAAAUAAUUAGAUAUAUAUGCAAAAUAAUAAUAAUAAUAAUAACUAAUUGCUAUUGAUGUUACCAUUUAAGCUUUUAGUUAUUUAUGUUUAAAAAAUUAUCAAACAUAUAUGCCAAAAAAAAUUAGUAAUUUUAGAAAUAAAAAGAUGAUAUUACCAUUUAGGCUUUUAUUUAUUUAUUUUUAAAAAAUGAUUGUAGAAAUAUGCGAAAAACAUUGAUUGCUAUUAAGGGGUAGACAACUAGUAUUUAUUCUCAUCUUUAUAGUUCCCAAUGAACGAGGAAAGAAAGGUUAUUAUGCAAAGACACGCUUCACUAUUGGAGAUACUGUCUUUGAAUUAUGUUUGAAUUUAUUAUUCUUUUAUUAUUAUUGUUCUUCUUUUAUUUUGGUUGGUAUUUAUGAGCCUCUCUUUCAAUGGAAAUAUGGUAUAUUUUCUGAUCUUUUCUUUUAUUAUCUUAGAAGAGUUCAACAUAAAUUGGACUGCCACUAAAUAUUAUAUUUCAAGUUUUAAUUAUAUGCUUUUAGCUUGUUAGAUUUUUUGCUUGAUUAUGUUUGUUCAAUAUUGUUUUUUUUUUUCCAUACAAUUACUAUAUUACAAUUAUUAUUAUACAUCAUUAUUUGCAGUAGAUACAAUAGUUUUAAGUCCAUCAAGAACGGUACAAUUUAUUAUAAAGUCCAUUCAUUAAAGGGCAUUACAAUCCACAAGAGGAAGUUAUAAAAAUAUAUACAUCUCCUAAGAGUAAACUAAAUUGGAAAAUUAGCUUGCUGCCUUUGUUAUUAAUUAAAAUUAGAUAUGGAAAGAUAAAUUAUAAAAAUAAUUAUUUUACCAUUUAAUCAAAUUAAGUAAUUUGAUUACACCAUACUAGAAAAUAAAGUUGAUUUUUAAUAUGAUUUUAUCUAAUAAAAGACAAACUAAUUAAAAAAUUAAUAUGAAUAAUAAGAUUAAUUAAUGAAAAAUAUUCAGCAAUAUUAAGCUAUUCUAAUUAGUUAUAAACAUAACUUAUUUUUUGGGAAUGGGAUUUUACUAUUUCUCAUGUCUAUAAAGAAGCUAAUGGGAGUGCUGAUUUUUUAUCUAAGCUUGUUAGAGUCUACACUUUGGGUGUACACUAUAUUUCAGAGUUACCGAUCGGUCCUCAGAAUGUUUCAUUCUAUAAUGAUUGUGGUAUAACUCAGACAAAGUUUUUUAUCGAGUGUUUAAAACUUGACUCUCUUCUUUUAUUUAAAAGAAAUUAGUUAUAUGAGUAUUAUUUACAUAUACCUAUCACGUUUAAAUUAUUGCCUCAAAAGUAAAUUAAGUUCAAAUUAAAAUUUUAAUUAAUAAAAAUUUAUUAUAAGCUCGGGCUUUCAAAAAUAAAUAAAUAACUUUAAAAAAUCCACCAAAUGUAUCACUAUGCUAAGGGUGGCGUUGACAGUGAUUAUUAGUUUAAAAAACCAGUGGGAUUACCUAAUUAAAUUAAUCGAUCAAGAAAGCUAAUUAUCGCCCCAAUAAGAGUAAAAAAUAAUAAUUAAAUGGCUUCAUAAUUCUAGCAUAGUAAUAGAAUUUAUUUUCGUCCCAACACGUGGCAAGUCCAUCGACACACGUUGGGCAUUCUGGUUACCUCCUUGCUUUGAGGAUUCACCGUUGCCAAGAUAAAUUGAUAAGAUAAAAAGGCAUAUAUAAAUGCUUAAUCUUUAAGAAAACAUGAACUUUUCGGAUUUUUUCAAAUUUGGCCAAUAUUUUUAAUUUUAUCAAUUGAUACUUUAUUUUUAUUUUUUAUUUGUGAAUUCUGACUUUUGUCGAGAAUUCGAUUGAAUGCAGUUAAGUGAUGCAGCUCUAAGAGCGAAGAAAUCUACUUGGCGGACUUUAGGGUCGCUAACAAUUUGAGUUGCUCGCCAAGUGUUCAUCCAGAGUCUGUUAGUUGUAAAAUCAUACCAAAUUCUUUCAAGCUUGUGGUGAUAUAGAAAAGAGAUUGUUUCAACAACGCAAUCUCUCAACUUAGAGAUUUUAAAAGUAAGGAUGAACCACUAGAGAAUAGUCAUGUGGAUUUAUAUUGGAGUGCUGUGGGACCAAUUAUUUGCCAAAUAAAUAACAAAUUAAUGGACUCUGGACGAAGAUUAUAAUUGACAAGGAAAAUAAGUAUGAGAUAAUAAUUGACAAAAUUAAAAGUAUUGGCUAAAUUUAUCAAAAACAUCAAAAUUUAAAUUUUUAUUUUGGUGAUUCAGUCAUAUAUAAGCUUUCAUAGCGAUAUUUCAGAUUUGAAAUUUGUAGUCACUGUUACUAGAAAGAUUUAUUUUAAUUACGUUCAUUAGAAAAUUUUAUCUGAAUAUUACCUCAACCCUCAACGUAAACAAGUGUAUAUGAAUAUCAACGGCAAGAGGUCAAUUUGGUAAUCAAGUUUUACUAUGUAUUAUAACUAUUCGAUUUUGAUAAUGUAAGUUGCAAUCAAAAGAUGCAAAACUAAUUUUGAUGCUUUUAAUUGCUUAAUUUGCCAUCUCUCUCACCUUUAAUGGUGGGGAUAAUUUCCGAUGAAGAUGACAAAAUUCCAAGCCAAUAUAGAGAUAUGCAUUGCAUGGGUUUCAUCUUCUACACAUCAAUUUAUUGCUUUCCGAUGCAUUACGAAUCUUAUGUUUUGAUAAGUUAGCAUUUUUCUUUUUUUUGGUAAAGGUUUUCAUUAAGAAUCUUUACAUUAUUUUAUGAUAAUCAUGUUUAGUUUGAUUACCAUUUACAGAAAAUACUAAGGUAAAAGAAAUUGGAUCGAUGCGAAAUAAUAAAAUUGAGAACUAGAGAAAUCAUUUACUUACCUUGCCUUCAAAAAAUUAAUUUGAAUUAUAUCCAAUUUUAAAUAUAUAUUUUUCCACUUAUUUAAAAUAUUAAUAUGAAUAUGAAGAUCAAAACAAUCUACUGGUGAGUGCAUGAAUGUUUAAGUUUGAAUUCUCUCUCCCCCAAUAUUAAAAUAUAUAUAUAUAUUAAUAUGAAUAAGUACUUGAGAAAAAUAUGAAUCAAAUGAUAAUAAUUUAUCCUCUAAAUCAAGAAAGAGUCAAUACAGUUGGUAAUAAAAUAUACAAAAGAAAGAAAUUAUGUUUGUAUUAUAUUUUAUUCUUUGUAUUUAAUUUUACGAACCAAACAAGCUCCGUAACGCAAACGGGAAACAUGCAUGAAAUUCCAGAAUAGCUGCCAAAUGUUAUGAAAUUGUAAUUUCGACUCCCAUGGCUCUACCUAAUUCCAUCUCAUAGUAAAUUCAACGUUAAAAAUGAAUAAAUAAAUAAGGAAAGCACAAUAUUUUAUUUUUUUAAUCAUGAAAAAAAAAAAAAGCGACGUAAAUGAACAAAGGGUUAUCAGAGAAAAAUCAAAAAGAGCAUCAUACCAAACAUGUCAUAUCAGUUGGAAAUGUUCUUCUCUGUAUAGUCUCAGCUGUAUUCUUUGACUGUAUAUAGUUUUUAUUUAUAUUCCUCAUGAAAAAGCUCAAGUAGAUCGAUCUCUCGCUAUCUCAUAAAGCCAAAAGCACCUUCAUUAUAUUUAUAUUUUUUUCAAUAAUUAAUAAUCAAUUUGUUAAGAAAGAUAUACUCAGAUUACGUGCAAAUACUCAAUUAAUCUAAUAACCAGUGAUUAAUAUAAAUUAAUCACGUUUAUAAGAUAUUUUUGUACAAUUAAUUUAGCAUCUUUUUAAAGCAACCUUUUAUGUUUUAAUAAGUGGUAGGUGAAACUCAAAAACUCUGCUAAGGUUAGGUACGUAGAAUUCAUUUACAAAUUACAAAACUUAAUUUAGUUUCAUAAAAUUCAAUCUGUAGGAGUUAAAUAGAUAAAAAUACUUAUAUCGAACGUGAAAUAUUGAAUUUUAAACAAAUUUCAUAAAAUCCAUAUAUAUGGAAUCCAAAAACCGUCUCGUACGUAACUGCAUUUGAUGUAUAAUUUUUAUAUAGCUCUAAGUUGCAAUUUGAAUUAUUGGAAAUUUUAUUUGGAUCGACAUAUUCAGCCCACAACAGUUUAUUUACCAACAAAAUGGAGAACUUAACUAUUUGAUCGUUAAUAUUAUUAUGAGGGAGCUCUUUAUUCCUAUCUAAAUCUGCCAAAUUAAACUAUUAAAGUUUGCUUUUAAAGAAAUUAAUUAAUUAAUUAUAGAAAAAUCAAUUAAAGUAUCAACUUUCCAGCCUAUAUUAGGAAUAAAACAUACAGAAGAUUUCUUCCAGCUUUACAACACAAAUAUUAAUUGAUCUAUAUUUUGUUUAGCGAAAUAAAUAAACAUAGAAACAUUAUCAAUUUUCAUUGGAUUUGCACCAUAAUAAUAAUAAUAAUAAUAAUACAAAAGUUCUAGAAAAAGAAAAAGAAAAUUUCAUUUUGGAUAACUCCAGAGCCAUGUAGAAGUUCUUCUCUAUCUGAUAAUUUCCUAACAGAACAUGUGCAUGCAAAUGUGAAUAAGAUAUGCCCACUUGUCCAUAUCCCUCUCCAUAUGCUACCACCAAUUAUAUGAAAACUGGCUGAGAUGUUGGAAUUAUGGUUAAGGAGUGUCCUGAAACUUCUAUAAAAUAAAAAUUUUCAUUUAUUUCAAGACGAAAUUAAUAUGAUUAUAAAAAAAUAAUUAUUUGAGAUUUCCAUUCACGAUUACAAGAGACUCAACCAGAACUCACAUUGAUUAAAAAAUUAUAUGUACAUGGAUUUUCAUUUAUUUAUUUAAUCAAUCAGAAUAAAUAAUAAUUGUGAAAAGAAAAUAUAUUAAGGAACAAAAAGAAAAUGCUGAAUAAAAUUAAUGUGGGGGCUAAAAAAAUUUGCAAAAAAAAAAAUAAACAAUUCAUUAAUUAAAAUUAUAUGAUAAUAUUAUUGACAUUGAAAGAUGAGGUGUGAAAGGAGCAAGCUGAAAAUAUCUUUCAGCAAUAACGUUAUUAUCAAACAGAAGACAAAACAACAAUUAAUUAAUAUAUUCCAUUGCUGACUAAUUAUACUUAGACUUAUGUUAGGAGUCAGGACAAGUAAUUAAUUAAAAUUCCUUAUGCGAAAAACCGACACGGCCUGCUUUCUUUAAUUUAUAAUAUCAAAUUUUAUAUAUUUCAGAGGAAAUUAGAAUAAAAUAAUUAAUUUGAAUUUUGACUAUAUGGCAUCCUUUUAGUUAGGGACUCAAUAAUUCAGUUGGAGAAGGGAAGACCUUAAGAACCCGUGUACUGAAAUAUGUUGAAUUCAACAAAAAAAAAAAGUGCUCUGCUGAUUGCAUCAUUUUUGAAUUCUUAACGUUUCUCCCUUCACAAAAAUUACAUCAUUUUAAAUUCUAAGCUUGUUUUGUGAUAGAAUGAAAACAAAUUUUUGUCAAGUAGUUAGCCACUUGUUUGAAUUUGGAUGAAAAAGAAUUCUCAUUGUGUAUUUUUAUUUGUAAAUCAUUAUAUAAUAUAUAUAGUAGUCAACAUGAAAAACUAUAUAGUAAUACUCCUGGCUACUUAUUAUAGAUAUAAUGAACUAAGACGUCCAGCUUAAGCAACUGAAUAUUAGCUUGAAUAAAAUAUUAAUUAAAUCAAUGAAAUUAGUGUAGUUGAUGAGAAUUAGGUUUACUAUCUGUUCUGAUUUAGUGAAUUAGUGGUUUCCAAAUUGAUUUCAAUCUCGGGAUAAUACCGAUUUCAAUUCUAAAAAUUAGAAUUGCGAUUGAUUUGAAAUCUUACUGAUUUUAGUUCCAUACGAAAUUAAAUUGUUUGAGUUGUUUUAAAUCAGUUGAAAUAUCUUUUUAGCGUGGAACAUCGAGUCUGAUGAGAAUAAUAACUUUCCUUCUUCAUGGACCAAGUUGAAAGCUACUGAAACAUACAGUAUUGGACUAAUGUGAGAAUAUCCUCACUAAUAAAGAAAAGAUCAAUUGUUAUAUAUUACAGGUUUAGUACUAUAGAUAAAAAGAACCCUUCAAGUUGAAGAUGAAGCGUGUGAAUUAGGAUUUGAUGAGGCUAUGGGUGACGAAAGAAGAGGUAUGUGAUGUGGACAUUGCAACCUCUUCUCCUCCACAAGCCAACAAGACAAAAUUUUGCUAAGCUGCGAACCCUUCAUUUGCUUAUAGUUGUCAAGAUAUAAAUCACACCCACCAAAAUAUUUCAUCAUCAACCUUUUUUUUUUUUUUUUUUUUCUUGUAUUUGGGGAGAAGAUUUAAACAUGAAUCUAUUUGUUAGAUUGUAUAUUUGCUUACCAUUAGAUUAUGUUUUGGUGUGCAAUGUCAUCGUCAACUUAACAAAACAAAGUCAAUGGUGUUUUACUUUACUAGUACUUAAAACAAAAAUGUGCCUUUAGUAUUUAUUUGCCUCUAAAUUGUCCUUCAACUUUGGACAAAAUUACAUUCGUAUAUCUUAGAAGGGUCACCGUGUUUUAAAUUUUUUUAAGAAAAUCUUAAUAAAAGAAAUAUUGUUGAAGUUUGAAAAAUUAUCUAUUUGGUUUCCCAAAAUUUGAAAAAUUAGAUUUCAUCCUCCCAAUUUUAAAAAUUAUUUUUGUUAAUUUUGUCCUUUUUCAGAAAUUGAUUUUCGUUUUUCACACAUCAUCUUUAUGAACUGCCAAAUUAAUUGGACCUCUUUCAACGGCAAGGAGACAGUCAACUAGUCUUAUGCACGUUGUGUAUUCAUAGACUUUAAUGAGAUAAGUGAUAGUUUCCGGUCAACUUUGGGCGUCUUAGGUGUUUAGGAAAUAAUUGUAUUUCUCUCAUUUUCCUUUAUUGGUUUGAAUUUAAUGCAUUGAAAGAAAUUUCUUUUUUUUAAAUUAUUUAAGUAGAUUUAGACCUUGUCGGCAAUAGUUUUUUAACAUUGUUUUUACUAUUUAUGGUAUUUGGUAGCAUAAAAUUUAUAUUAGUGUUUAAAAUUUAUGGAAACGAAAUAUGAAAUGUUAUUUCAUUUAAUGUUUAAUAAAAACUCUAAUUAAACAGUUCACAGAUAAUAACUGCUAAAACAACUGAUAGUUAAUUGCUAAAACAUUUAAUUUUGCCAAACAUAUUUUAGGCUCUAUUAAUUUAUUUGUAGAAAAUAAAUUAUUUUUUCAAAAGUAUUUUCCAUUAAGAUAAAUUUUAAUUUAUUUUAGUUCUAAAUUUUAGAUUUCAAGUCAUUUAGCUUCAAUUUUUAAACUUUUAGAUUUUAAAAAUAACUUCAAGAGGCCGUUCGGAAUGAUAGAAUACGAAAUUUAUGAAUUUUUACAAAAUCCAUAGAAUAUGAAAUUUAUGGAUUUUAAAAUCAAUAAAGUUUCACCUUUUAUUAUUGGGUUAAAAAGUAUAAUAUGUAAAUUUGAAAGAUUUUUAGAAUAAAAAAUUAAAUGAUCUAAAUGUUAUAUUUUAGAGACAUGUACGAGAGAAAUAUUUCUUCAAUUUCUUCUAUUGAAUAUAACGGGAUUACAUACAUCCUAUUUAUGCACAAUAGUCUAACUCUAAAUAGGAAAAACACGAAUAAGGAAUGAGUAAUACUGUUUUCUAAAUAAGCUAUAUAAAAAUAUUCUAAAUUACACAAAUCAACAUUAAAUUAUAUCAUUAAUAGAAAUGAUGAAUUGAACCAAUAAGGUGUUAGUUGAGGUAAGAAGCGACCUCAACAUCCGUAAAGAUAAGAAUACAAAGUUUGAUUCUUAGAAAGCAUAUUUUGCUGAGAAGGUAAAAAAUCUUUAUGCUCUAUAGUCCUAGAUACGUUUCAUCCAACUCAUACCUCUUACGUCAUUUUAAUAAAGCUUAAUGACUUAGUUUGUUAGCUUUGUGCACAAUAUUACACAACUAUAAAAAUUUAGUCAACUAUAAUGAUAUUAAUAUUAAAUAAAAUUUAAACGUUUUUCUUAUUAAACUUCAAUAAAAAGAAAAAUUAUUCAAUACUCAUGGUUUUCUUUUUGUCUUCUGACAAGAGAGCAGAGGUGACUCGGCGGCUAAUGUGGCGAGUCGGCCUUGGUCUGGGUAGUGGAAGGACGAGACCUAUGAGUCUACGAGAUUAGCUAUCCAAAUUGGGUGAUAAAGACAUGAGAAUCCAAAUCAUUAACAUAACCAUAUGUCCAUUUUUAUCUCGUGGUUUUCCAUUUUCGGUCAGUGCUGCUGCCCAGCAAGAGGAGGAGAAGAAAGCACGUGUGAGUGAAUAUCAUACACUUAAAACGCUUCAACCGACGGACGUUCGCGUGGGCAUCAUUAUCAAACUGGAGGACAUUCUCGUUUCUUCCUUGCAAUAAUACUGAACCAAAUUAACAAUUUACCCUAAAUUUAGAAAUUUUUUUUUAAAAAAAGGGAAGAUGAACAGAUUGAUUUUAGUUCCUGUCCACAAAAUAUAUGUUGGUGGGAACACCUACUAACAUCAUUUUGGCUGCUGCCUUUUCAAAAUUUUUCAAAAAAUUUUUUCUUUUCAGUUAUAUUUAGGAGUACUUAUCCAUCAGUUUUACAUCAAAAUUAGUUUAGAAUGGAAAGAAUUUAUUGAAUCAACUACCUUUAAAUAGAUUCAAAAUCUUAAUGAAUUUAUUCAUGUAAAUUGAAAAUAAAUUUUAAUUUUUCUUAAUAUAAAAAACAAGCACUAUUAGAACUCAUUUGGUUUGUUAAAAAAUGGAGAAAAAAUAAUAUUCAUAUGUUAAAAUUUUCAGAAAUUUUAAAAUAAUGUUAUCUGCCCUAUUUUCUCAAUAAAAAAAUUAAUUUUAAUUUUUUUUCUCAAAAAAAAAAAGAAUUUAAUUUUGAGUAUAAUGCAUAUCUAGUGUCUUAAAUUAAAUUAGAAUUGACCUCAAGUUUAAAUUGCCUAAACGGCUACACUCAUUUAAGCCAAACGGACCUCAAUGCCCGUUAUGGGCUUCACAGUGAAUGCUUCUGUUACAGUAUAAUUGAUAUGGGCUUAGUAUCUAAAGAAACUCGUUCAGUCCUUUUUUUUCAUAAACAGGCGAUGAGCGUAAAAGUUUUUUGCGCUAUCAACGAAUCGAACUUUUCAGAGUCCUCAUUCUUACAGGAAUUGAGUUUGUUAAAUACCUCAAUCAACAUUUUAUUGAUCAUUCAGUCUUUUUUUUUAAUUAGUCAAAGUCAUUUCGAGUUAAUAGGCUAUAUUAAGAACUCGCUCUUUUUCUCUUAAAAAAAAAGAAAAAUAUGAAUUUUAAUAUUUCUAGAGCACUUCUCUAACAUAAUUCCUAAUUAACAAGAAAAAAAUUUUUUCACUUUUACCAACUAAAUUAAUACAUUGAGUGGAACUUAAUUUUGAGCAUAUCUUUAUUAAGCUAAACGGAGCUCUAGUUUGAAUUCACUGGAUUUCAGUUUUGUUCAAUUCAUUUAAAACUUUAGUGGCUCAUGAAAUUAUAUUUGAGUAAUUUAUUAUUUCUCAAAAUUAGAUCCUCCAUAAAUUAGUGAUUUGGAUGUUUUCACUUGUUGACAUGCCUUUUCUCAAAAAUAAAAUAAAUAAAAUCGUUCGUCUGGCUUAUAAUUCUCUAGUUAGUUCUUUUGUAGCUAAUUUUGCUAAGCAUAUGCAUAAGAUUUUUUUUUUUAAUCUUAAUACUAUAUGUUUUUCAAUUAUUUUUUGGCCCCUCUAAAAUUUUAAUUUUAGAUUCAUCACCAACUUUUUCUUUAUCUUUAAAAUUAAUUUAUUUUAUUAUAACAAAAUAUACUUGGAAAAUUUUAACUUAUCCAAGUAAAAAAAAUUUCAAAACUCUUAAAGCUAUUCUGGAAAAGUUAAAUGGAAAAACUAAUAAAAAACAAUGUUAACAGCACAAUCACAAAACAUCAAUAAGAUUUUUUCUUGAGAUAAGAAGAAAGAGAGAGAGAAAAAAAAAAAAAAAAAAAAAGACAUUGGCUAAACUAAGUCGUGGCACUCACAAAUUUGUAGAAAUCAAAUAUAAUAAUUAAUUUCUCAAAAUGUUGAACCAUAAUGUCACUUAUGCAAACUUAGGCCUGAGGCCUUGGUUGUGCACCUAAUUGAUGGAAUUGACACCACUCAGUUGGAACUUGGAACACUAACUCAGAACCAUCAGAUUGUUUGGCAAAUGCUUUCAUCACCUUGUCAAGCAGUACAUAAUGACAGCUUGUGACCAUCAUAUGAUAUAGACAAAUUUAAAAAGAAAAUUUUUUAAGAACAUAAAAUGUUUUUUUUUUUUUUUUUUAAUUUGACAUAUAGAUUUUUAUAAGAGUGUGGGCGUUCUGAAAAUAAAUUCAAGUUAGAUUCCCUUCCCCUAAUACUAAAAAGAAAAAAAAAUUAAGUCACAGAAGGUUUAUUGCGUAAUUUAGGUAACUUUAACUUUGAUUUACUUAAAAGGUACCAAAAUUGUUAUUAUAAUUAAUUUAGUUGCCAAAAAAAUUUGUGGCACAAACGAAACCGUAAGAUAGAUCUUGACAUUUUAUUUUCUUAAACGUUACCACAAGACAAAGAUUUUAAAGUUUUAGACACAAAUUAUUAGUGGUGCCAAAUUAUUUUCCUUUCUUUUAAUUUUUCAAAUUAUUGCACGACAGGAAAUGUUAAUGCAAGUUGAAACUUAACAGUACUAAAUGUUUGAAACAUACAACAUUUGCAUAUGUAUAUAUAUGCAUGAGUUACACUUACAAUUUCAACAAAGAUUAAAAAAAAAACUAAAAAUUUUGCUAAAUUAACUCCAGCUUCAGAUUUUCUUCUUACUAAUUCAGUAAGAAGUCUGGAAUGGCUUGACUGUCUUGAGAUCAGUAAUAACACCAGCAAUGGAGCCAGCAGCAGCAGCUAUAGUAAUAAUAAGACAGGCACCGCUUAGUAUUUGGAGACAGAGCCAUCUUGUGCUCCAUUUUGGUAUUUUCUUCUGGGCUAUGUACAUUUCAACUGGAAAAUAAACCGUUAAUGGCCAAAACCCUAAAGCUCCAAGUAAACCCACAAUGUCGUUAAAGAAAGGAAGGAGCAUUGAAAUUACAGUGGUAAAGAUCACAAAAACUGUCCUAAACACCAUUCUGAAGAGGUUAAGGUUGAAAGUACCCAAGCAAGGAAUUGGGAUUUUGAUAUCUCUGGUAAUAAAGUCACUAUCUGGGUAUUUUUGUGCUGCUGUUUUUUCUAUGAAAGAAAAAAGUGGUUGACAGUAAACUUGGUAUGCACCAACAAGGUGGACAACUAUAGCAACAUUAGCAAUAUCAAGUAGCCAAUAUGGGUUAUAAAAACCAAACCCAGUUAGGAGAUUUCCAGGGGACAUGUCUCCAAAAGCUGCAUACCCAAAACACCCACAUAGCAUGUAGAAAAACGUUGUCACUGCUACACUUAUUAGUGUUGCUUUCUUCAUUGUCUUGGCCUCUGAUGGUGGUGAUUUCAC